GGCCCUGUAGCCUAGCCUGGAUAGGGCGACAGCCUUCUAAGCUGUAGGUCGUGGGUUCAAAUCCCACCAGGGUCA
rnacentral:tRNA from 1 species